AGUGAACGCUGGCGGUAGGCCUAACACAUGCAAGUCGAACGGCAGCACAGUAAGAGCUUGCUCUUACGGGUGGCGAGUGGCGGACGGGUGAGGAAUACAUCGGAAUCUACUUUUUCGUGGGGGAUAACGUAGGGAAACUUACGCUAAUACCGCAUACGUCCUACGGGUGAAAUCAGGGGAUCUUCGGACCUUGCGCGAUUGAAUGAGCCGAUGUCGGAUUACCUAGUUGGCGGGGUAAAGGCCCACCAAGGCAACGAUCCGUAGCUGGUCUGAGAGGAUGAUCAGCCGAACUGGAACUGAGACACGGUCCAGACUCCUACGGGAGGCAGCAGUGGGGAAUAUUGGACAAUGGGCGCAAGCCUGAUCCAGCCAUACCGCGUGGGUGAAGAAGGCCUUCGGGUUGUAAAGCCCUUUUGUUGGGAAAGAAAAGAAGCAGGUUAAUACCCCGAUGUUCUGACGGUACCCAAAGAAUAAGCACCGGCUAACUUCGUG
rnacentral:rRNA from 1 species